UACAGAGGUCUCAAGCGUUGUUCGGAUUCAUUGGGCGUAAAGGGUGCGUAGGUGGCGCCGAUAAGUCAGGGUGUGAAAUCUCGGGCUUAACUCCGAAACUGCAUUCGAUACUGCCGUGCUUGAGGACUGGAGAGGAGACUGGAAUUUACGGUGUAGCGGUGAAAUGCGUAGAUAUCGUAAGGAAGACCAGUGGCGAAGGCGGGUCUCGUGGACAGUUCCUGACGCUGAGGCACGAAGGUCCAGGGGAGCAAACGGG
rnacentral:rRNA from 1 species